CGUUCAGAUAGCUGAUUAUAGUUUUAGGGGGCUGAGACGACAAAUAGGGUGGCUGAAGCCCACCUAAAAGGGUCUAGAACCGUCCCUGAUUUUAACUUGAUCCUAACUUUUA